rnacentral:rRNA from 1 species
AACGCUGGCGGCGUGCCUAAUACAUGCAAGUCGAGCGAACAGACGAGGAGCUUGCUCCUCUGACGUUAGCGGCGGACGGGUGAGUAACACGUGGAUAACCUACCUAUAAGACUGGGAUAACUUCGGGAAACCGGAGCUAAUACCGGAUAAUAUAUUGAACCGCAUGGUUCAAUAGUGAAAGACGGUUUUGCUGUCACUUAUAGAUGGAUCCGCGCCGCAUUAGCUAGUUGGUAAGGUAACGGCUUACCAAGGCAACGAUGCGUAGCCGACCUGAGAGGGUGAUCGGCCACACUGGAACUGAGACACGGUCCAGACUCCUACGGGAGGCAGCAGUAGGGAAUCUUCCGCAAUGGGCGAAAGCCUGACGGAGCAACGCCGCGUGAGUGAUGAAGGUCUUCGGAUCGUAAAACUCUGUUAUUAGGGAAGAACAAAUGUGUAAGUAACUAUGCACGUCUUGACGGUACCUAAUCAGAAAGCCACGGCUAACUACGUGCCAGCAGCCGCGGUAAUACGUAGGUGGCAAGCGUUAUCCGGAAUUAUUGGGCGUAAAGCGCGCGUAGGCGGUUUUUUAAGUCUGAUGUGAAAGCCCACGGCUCAACCGUGGAGGGUCAUUGGAAACUGGAAAACUUGAGUGCAGAAGAGGAAAGUGGAAUUCCAUGUGUAGCGGUGAAAUGCGCAGAGAUAUGGAGGAACACCAGUGGCGAAGGCGACUUUCUGGUCUGUAACUGACGCUGAUGUGCGAAAGCGUGGGGAUCAAACAGGAUUAGAUACCCUGGUAGUCCACGCCGUAAACGAUGAGUGCUAAGUGUUAGGGGGUUUCCGCCCCUUAGUGCUGCAGCUAACGCAUUAAGCACUCCGCCUGGGGAGUACGA